rnacentral:tRNA from 1 species
GAAGGUAUAGCUCAGUGAUAGAGCGCACGCUUUGCAUACAUGAGGUCCUCGGUUCAGUCCCCAGUACCUCCG